rnacentral:lncRNA from 1 species
ACCGACUCCUCGCCUCGCUCGGCCCCAGCUUCCUCGGGCCCGUUGCCAUCCUCCGCGUCUGGAGCUUCUGCCUCUUCUACGUCAUGGCCGAGCUCUGGGGCAGCGUCGUCAUAUCCGUCCUCUUCUGGGGGUUUGCCAAUCAGGUACCGACGGUUCACCCAAUUCUAUUACUGUGUCCUCUCCGUCACAGCGAAUAAUUUAAUAAUGGCGAAAUUCUCUACUGAACUGCUAGUGAUUCAUGGUUAGACAUUUUAAAAUUGCAAGUUGUAAUUGAUGCUGGCUCUGUUGUGGACUCUGAAUAUCCCCUUUCUAUAAAAAAAAACUUUGGAAUGGCUGGUGAGGUAUGGUUGUCUUUAUGCGCAGAAAUUAGCGGAGUUCCUUUCAAAGAUCAAGUGCAGUUUAUAGUUGUCCGAUGUGCUGUUUAUUUAUAUAUCUUCAUUCAGGUGCUUUUGAUCAUUGCAGAUUACUACAGUUGAAGAGGCCAAAGAGUUCUACCCGCUGUUUGGGCUUGGUGCCAAUGUGGCCCUCAUCUUCUCUGGGCGCACGGUGAAAUAUUUCUCAAACAUGAGGAAGAAUUUGGGUCCUGGAGUGGAUGGUUGGGCAAUUUCGUUGAAGGCCAUGAUGAGCAUAGUGGUUGUACUGGGUCUUAUCAUCACCGGUAUCUAUUGGGGGGUGAACAAGUUUGUUAUUGAUAACUCAUCUAUGCCCGUGGUCGAGCGGAAAAAGAAGGUUGGACCUGGCAGAAUUUCUACUAUUCUUAUGCUUGUGUUUAUGGAUCUCUCCUUAACGAUUCUGUAAACAUAAAAACUUUCAGGACAAGCCAAAGCUCAGCAUGGGUGAGAGCAUGAAGGUUCUGUUGUCAUCUCGGUAUGUGAGGGAUCUUGCCACAUUGGUCGUUGCUUAUGGAAUAAGCAUUAACCUUGUGGAGGUGACAUGGAAAUCAAAAUUGAAAGCACAGGUAUGUUAAUCUCAAAGCAUGUAUCUGGCCUGUUAUUAACACAUAUACAGUAUAGUUGCCAAUUAAUUUUCUGCUGGUGUCUUGUAGUUCCCAAGCCCAAAUGAAUAUUCUUCAUUCAUGGGCGAUUUCUCAACUGCCACCGGCAUAGCUACCUUUACAAUGAUGUUGUUAGGGAGAGUAAUCCUCAGAAAGUUCGGGUGGGGAGUUGCAGCUACGAUCACACCUGCAGUGUUACUUCUCACAGGAGUUGGGUUCUUCUCACUGAUUUUGUUUGGUGAGCCAUUGACUCCUCUUAUGACCAAGUUUGGGAUGACACCUUUGCUUGCGGCAGUCUAUGUUGGAGCAAUGCAGAACAUUUUCAGUAAGAGUGCAAAGUACAGUCUGUUUGAUCCUUGCAAAGAGAUGGCAUACAUUCCUUUGGAUGAGGAUAUGAAGGUGAGUCUCCAAAAAAUACCGAUCCUUGUAUAGAUUCAUAUCAAAUGCAUAUCUUGCCUUAAAUGACACUUGUAUUGGUAUGAUUGAUCCAAUGAGCAUAAUAAUAAUUUAAGUUGUAAUAUUACUUAACCUUAUGAGAGGAGUAGGUGUGAUCAGCAUACAUCAUAACUUGUAGAACACGAGAUUCCUAUUUAUAAUGAAGCCACAUUAAUUUCUUUGAUGUGAAAUAUGUUGUGCUGAUUUGUCCUUGACUCUAGUUGUACCUGUAUCUCUAAAACACUGUGAUAAGUGACUUAGGUGAAGUGAAAGGUUCAUAAUCAUCUACUAAAAGUCAUGUAAACAUACAUAAUAAGAUUUUACGCUUUUAUUGAUGAUGGCAAUUAUAUCCCCCCACCAAAAAAAAUCUAUUGUUGAGUUUUAUGAAACCUUCAUAUUCAUUUGUUGCUUUUGUUCUCAACUCUUUGUGGUCAUGAUAACAGGUUAAAGGUAAAGCAGCUAUUGACGUUGUCUGCAACCCCUUGGGGAAAUCUGGAGGUGCUUUGAUCCAGCAGUUCAUGAUCCUGUCAUUUGGAUCUCUUGCGAAUUCGACACCCUACCUUGGUGGAAUACUUCUGGUGAUUGUUCUUGCAUGGCUGGGUGCUGUAAGGUCCCUCGACUCACAGUUUUCAACCCUGGCAAAGCAAGAUCUCGAGAAAGAAAAGAUGCUGAAAGCACAGGCCGUCGAAGUCGAAACAACUGCCAAAGUAGUCGGGACUGGAAAUGGUUCUCUCCAAGAAACUCUAGCUAGUGAGCCAUCUGCAAAUGGUGCAGCUACCAAACAGUCUCGAGAACCUGAGAGUACAACCACGGAGAAAUCAGGCCAAGAACCUGAGAGUACAACCACGGAGAAAUCAGGCCAACAGUCUCAAUAAGUUUUCCCCAAGAAAUUUAGUUAGUACAAGCCUUUGGAGGAACCAAAAGUUUCUUGGGCCUUUUAUCUGGAGCUGCUGAAGAAGGCAGGAAUGAUUUGAGAAAUAAGAAGGCCUGUUCUUCUGUUGUUGUAGCAUAUUUUUUACUUCACCGUGAGUAUCUGUAGCUGUUUGUUUCAUUCCAUAGGUAUAAACUGUUUCUGUUAUUAAAAAUUUUGGGAAGUCUGCUUCAUGAUAAUCUUCAAUAGCUAGUCCUUUGUUGUGAAAAAUUAUUUUGCCUGGUUUUGAUAUUUAUGGGUACCAUGUAUUUUCAAUUUAUUCAUAUUCCUACUAAACAGUGAUGUAGUCAGGUUCCUUUCAUUACACUUAAGGUUCAUGGGCUUUCCCAGGACAAAUACCCUUUACCGCAGGCCCACAGCCUUAGGUGAGCAUAAAAGGCGGACGUUGUCUUGGUUCAGGACUCGUUUAGAUGUGUUUUUUUUUUGGAUUUCGCUACUGUAGCACUUUUGUUUUUUCGUUACAAAUAUUUUCUAAUUAUAGACUAACUAGGGUUAAAAAAAUUGUUUUGCGAUUUACAGACAAACUGUGUAAUUAGUUUUUAUUUUCGUCUAUAUUUAGUGCUUUAUGCAUGUACCGCAAGAUUUGAUUUUUUUGUUUUUUUUUUGAUAAUGGAUAUAAAAUUCGGUCUCUACAUCUGAGGAUGUACACAGCCCAUGCAAAAUUUGAUGUGACGGAGAAUCUUAAAAACUUUUUAGAUUUCGGUGAGAACUAAACAAGGCCUCAAUCAGUGAUGCAGAAUGCUCAUACUAACGGGAUGUGUUUGUGUGAUCGCUAGAGAGUGGAACUAGGUGUCGAAAAAAAGAGUGGAACUGGGAAUAUUUUUGUGUGAUCGCUGGAGAGAGAGCGCAAUGGGCGUGCACAGGCAUAACUGCUACACAAAGAACCUUACCCGAACUUGGGCCUUGUUUACUUCCAAUUUUUUUUUUUGCAAAAUAGAAAUAAUAGCACUUUCGUUUGUAUUUGACAAAUAUUGUUCAAUCAUGGCUUAACUAAGCUUAAAAAAUUCGUCUCGCAAAUUAUAGGUAAAUUAUGUAAUUAGUUAGUUCUUUUAUCUAUAUUUAGUGCUCUAUAUAUGUACCGUAAGAUUCGAUGUGAUGAAGAAUAUGAAAAAUUUUACAAAAUAUUUUGGUAACUAAACAAGGCCUUGAUAUGUGCCGAAUCCUUUGCCAGGGCUUGAGACGUCGCAAACCCUCCUGAAAGAGAGGGUGCCCUCGGGGACGCAAACACAUAGGGGCCGCCAUAAGGUGUAUAGUCCUGAGCCGAUAUCCCCUUUCGUUCUUGAAAGAAGCAUAAUGCAUGGGACAUGAUAGUGGCUGGCCGACUAGCUCCCUGGUACCGAACUACCGAUACAGCAGUGAUCUCACUUUACUGACAUGAUUGCAACAAGGUCUGAGCUGGUCACUGUAUCCUUCUAAAUCUGCAGGAGUGUUAAGCAUUCAACCCACAGUUGACAGUAGGCACCAAUCAUGGAUACAAUCAGUGGUGAAGCUAGAGCAAAUUAGAGAGGGUUACACUUAGCUUGUGGGUGCAUAUACAUGCGUUUUAGGGGAUGCAUAUAUGGUAAAAUUUUGAUUAAAUCUACUGUUUUGCAAUUUUUGAGGGGUGCAUUUACACCCCCUGCUUACAACACAGCUUCGCCCCUGGAUACAAUCAGGGAGUAAAAAUCAAUGUACUCUCUGCCCCACCCCCAUCUCGCUGUUGUUUCGUCUCAAAAUUCUGUACCAUCCAUGGAGAGGAGCCCAGGCCUGUGAAUGAACUGUCCAUCCAUGAUCCAUCCAUGAAGAGUAGGCAAGCUAUCCUGCAUUGUAUAUACGUACCAUAUAACCAUCAUCAAUAAAAAGGAAAAAGUUCUAUUGCAUGAGUCUAAAUUCGCCUCCCCCAAUCGGAAACUUGAUUUUUAGACUCCCCUAAUUCAAAUUGUUCGAUUUGCCUCUUUGAGUGAUUUUGAGUGAUGUGUAGCCACAUCAAUCGUCCUAUGUGGCACCAUGUUAGCAAUGAGGGAGCUAAAUCAGAUUUUCAAAAUAGUUAACGGAGGUCAAUUAGACUUUAUAAAAAUUAUAUAAAUAUUUUUUCUUUUAAAAAGGUAUUUUCUAGAAUAAAUAUGUAUUUAAAAAUACUAAAUAUGAUUCAAUAUUAUAAAAUUCAACAAAAUUCGUUUAGACUAAGAAAAACAUGAAACUAGUUUCAUAGUUUUCCAAAAAAUCAUGCUCUACAUUAAGAUUUGACGCGAUGUAGGACAUCUGAUGUGACGCGACAUCAGCAAAAAGCGCUUUCAAAAUCAAUGAGAGAGGUAUUUAGACAGGUUCAAGAGUUGUAGAUAUCUAUGACUUUUUUGGAAGGAGCUAUCUACAAAUUUGUUUUUUUACAUACAAAUUUGGUUUUUUGAAAGAGGCAAAUUAGACUCGCGUUUCAUGGAAAAAGUCCACUUUACCUCCCUAAACUAUCCUUGAAGUUUAGUUUUUCUUCGUAAACUCGAAAACCAAGUAAACCAACUCCCUCAACUUUUAAAACCCCCGAUUAUAAGUGUUUUUCAAAGGUGGUUUUGUCUUUUUAUUUUUUUAUUUAUUUUGAUGGAAUAUUUGAAAAAUUAUAAUAAAUCACAAAAAAAAUUAUAAAAAAAUCUAGUUUUGUUGGACUCCACAUGAGUAGAUAUACAUAGUGAACAUAUGAAAUGGUAUGAUUUAGUAUAAAGUUUUUGUUAUAGCUUUAGAUCUAUGCUUUUCUAUAAUUAUUCUAUAGCUGCAGUUUCCGUGAUCAAUUUUUAUGGUGGUCUAAUUAUCGUAUGCUUUAACUAUAGUAAAAAUUUCAUACUAAUUUAUAUUUUUACACACUUUUAACUAUUUAAAACUAUUUAAUGAGGAAAAAUCAUAAAUGCAAAAUCUAGUUUUAUCGGAUAACUUUUUUUAUAAUGGGAUAGCUAUUAUAUGAUCGAAAUGUAGUAAAUUUUUCAUGCUCAUUGGAUAAUGUGUUAUAGAAUUUUAUAGGUUUUUGCUCAUUAAAUAGUUUUAAAAGACAAAACCUUUGAAAACCACCUAUAAUUAGGUCAUGGAGGCAAAAUGAAUGGUCUCAAAAGUUGAAGGAGGUAGUUUACCCAUUUUUGAAGUUCAGAUAGGAAGAUUUUGAAGAUUAUUCAGGAGGUAAAAUAAAAUGGACUUUUUCCUUCCAUUAAAAUCUUCACCAGUUGUGCGGAAAGCCCACAGGCAAAUGUUCCAAUUGGGCCAUAUCCUUAAGUGGGCCAAGACUGAGAACAGGUUGCUCGACCUUCUGCAGUCUGCACAGCGGGGGACUCGGCCCAUCCACACUACGCCAUCGCCUCGUAAGCGAAACGGACGGCGGAGAUCGGCUGGCCGCAGAUAGCGAGGGGACACGCCGACCCGUGAUUUUUUCCAGAUCAGAUCCGACAGCUCGCCUUCCCGUCUUUCCCUCUCCCCCACACCCACCCGGGCCGGUCGUCGUCGUCGCGGCGUGAGCGAGCGAGCGAGCGAGCGGGGAAAACCCAAAACCCUAGCGCCCACCGCCCCGUCGCCCCGUCGCCGGCGGCCGCCAGAGUAGAGAGAUGGCGGUGGACGAGGUGAAUUCGGUCUACGUCGGCGGCCUUCCCUACGAGGCCAACGAGGAGAUGCUUCGCGACGCCUUCGGGUACUACGGCACCAUCGUCUCCGUCAAGGUCUGCGCCCCCCCCCCCCCCCCCCCCCCUCUACUCUCCGUUUAGUCAGCUCCCGCGUUUGCUCUGGAGAAAGUUUGACGGGCGCUGCUGGUUUGAUUCGAUUCAGUGAGGCUGUGCUGCGGCCGGUGAUUCUUUUUUUUUUUGAAAUAUGGCGGAAAAGCGGGUUGAUUUUAUUACGUGGGUUUUUUUUUUGGUGAAGUUUUUCUUGGGCAAAAGGUUCUUCUCCUUUUUUAGGAUCUUAGUGAGGAUCUCGGGAGUGUUUGUCUUUAAAAAACAACAAACAACAUGAGAACACGAACGAAAGAUGGGAGGUGGUGUCCGCCCAUGGCCAGUUUCUGAUGGCUAAACUAUUUUAAAGCCAAGAUGAAUUGGCAGGUAGAAUUGUUCUGAGUUGAGCUCAGAUUUUUAGCUCAUCUGGUUGCUGUAUUUGCAUGGUAGAUGUUUGGUUUUCUUUUGGAUGCCGAGGGCAUUAUGGUUUAUAUGUCUCGAACAUCUUACUUUUCUUCAACUGAGAGGAGUGUGAAGAUGACGGCAUCAUCAUUUGCAAAUGUGAUAUGUGGAACAUAUAGCAGUCAAUGCUUCCUAGUGCUGUAACCCACUGUUUUGAGUCUGAGAGAUUUGUUUCCUGAUUAAUCUGUGCAUUCUAGGUGAUUAAUGAUCAUUCUGUCAAAGGCAAGUGUUAUGGUUUUGUUACUUUCACUCACCCCAGAGCUGCUGAGCAAGCAAUUGCAGGCAUGGAUGGCAAGGUAUGCAGUGUGCUUUUUUUUUUGUGAACUUGGCACCUUUUCUUUAUCUUGUGUUUAACACGUCUUUUUACAGAAAUUAGGCAAUCGUAUUGUUCGAGUAAAUGAAGUGCGUACAAGAGGUCCCCGAGAUUUUGGUCGAGAUGGUUUCAGACGAGAUCCAAGAAGGUAUGGUAGAGAUCCAUACUGGGACAGAAGGGAUAGGGAACGGAGCUAUGAUCGUGAAAGGGAUCCCUACCAUGACAGGGAUAGUGAUAGAUCCCGUGAGCAUGAUAGAGAAAGAGAUUAUGAGCAUGGUGGCUUUAAUCGAGAAAUUGACUAUCCCAUGGAUCGAGAUCAUGAAGUAGACGAGAGACGUCCUAGAGAACAUGAUCGUGCAGCUGAAAUGCAUAAUAUGGAUUCAGAUAAUGACAAAGAUAGGGAGCAUGGAACAAGAAAAAGGUUCAGGUGACAUGUUGAUUUUGUUUUUCAUAGUGGAGUUAUGUUGAUAUUGCUAACCAUGGUAGCUAUUUUUAAUAUUUGAAUGAAAACGACUUGUGUUUGAUAUAUUGAUAUGUAUAUUUUAGGUAUUUGUGGAGUGCUUAAUUGAUGUUCUUGGGCCAUUUGAAAUUAGUUUUCUAGAGCAUCUCUUAGUCCUUAACUUGGGAGUGGCAUUUCAAGAUCUUGGAACGUACUAGGGAAAUUUGAUUAUAGACAUGUUGUAUUAUACUCCCUCCAUUCCAAAUCGUAAGACAUGUACAUCUAAGUGCAUAGUAAAAGCAAUGUAUCUAGAAAAGCCAAAACAUCUUACAAUUUGGAACGGAGGGAGUAGAUAUAUAAGAAAAGGGCCAUAUUCACCUUAGAGAAGUUUGAACAGCAAUUUUUUGUGAUAUUUAUAUGUUUCCCUGCAUUACUCUCUCUAUCCACUCAAUUAUUUUUAAAGUUAAUAUAGUGAAUACUAGCUGAACAAUUAGAAUGAUGAGCAGGUUUGAUGGUUUGUUUGCCCUAAUGUGUAAAAAUUAUUUUAUGCUGACUAGUGACCUUGCACGCAUAAACUAUACUGGGUACAUUAUUUUUUUUUAUAAGGAACUGGGUACAUUAUUGGAGACCAUGUUUGGUUACCCUUACUGUGAAAUUUACACCAUUGUUUUGUUUUGUGUUAAGUCCAGAUUUUAAUGUACUGACUACUGUCUAUUUAUAAAGAAAGGUUGUACCACUACGGGAAAUAUUUCAUGGAUUCAUGGAUCAACUAUAAUCCUUAGAAAAAAACAAGGCAUUUACUUUCCUAAUGUUCUCUAUGCAGCCGCCCGAAAGGUCGUGAUAGCAGAGAUUUAUCGAGUUCCAGUGAUGAUCUUCAAAAUGAUGUAAGUGCAUCUUCAAAAAAACCUAGGCAUUUACAUUCCUGACUCUUUAUAUCAACUCUUUUUUGUUUUCGUAAAAUUUUCAUUUCUCUCUUUUUUGUAUAUCAGGGAAAGCACCAGUUGGAUAAAACUAUUCAGAUGCGUGAGGACCUUGAAAAUGAGGCAUGCCAUUUCCUUAAAGACCUUGUUCUGUAUUAGUUUGAUCUGGAAACCAUAAAAUCAGCUCACACUAUCUCAGAGUUGGUCUAAAAUCAUGAUGGAUUUAUUUCUUUGCCAGACUCCAUUUAAAUUAACUUGCCUAUAGUGCUUUCGGAAUAUAAAGAUGAAAACAUGUUAAAUGCAAAUGUGAAAGUAAGCAAAGUUCUCCAGGCUUAAUGGAUGUAGAUUUAUGGAUAUUGGUGACCUGCAGAAUUGGAUCAUGAACUCAAUUGCAUUUGCGAGGUACAUAAAAGGAUAAAUGCCUAUUGAAUUUGUAGUCCCAUUUAGGAUUUAUCUUUUGCUUGACUUGUACAGAAAUUUUCAUAUUUAGCUCAGUUUUAUUUUGUACACUGACAUGCUUGGAUACCUCAGAUGACAGUCAUGCAUUGAUCACUGAAUGCACAGGCCUUGUUUACUUUGAAAAGCUUCACAAUUAGUUGUCUAUUGGAUUACAAUAUAUAGUAUUAUCUUUUCAGCUGAAGUUAUAUAGUACACAGGACGCACGAUCCAUGAACCAUGAUAGACUGAUAGUAUACUCAGCUACUUUUUAGAAUUUAGAUAAUAGGCAUGAGUACUUCUGUUCAUGAUUUAACUGUUUCUUGCAUUUUAUAUUAUGAACUUUGCAGGUUAACCAGAUUAAGGAUAAAAUAUCUGGAAAAGAACAGCACAUUGCAGAUUUGCAGAAGAAAGCUCAGGUGCUCUGUCAUGAUUUUCAAAGGAUUCUGCUGUCAUCAUUUGCCCCAUUCAUAUAUGAGAUAGCCACUGUUUGGCCAUCUCUUAGAUCUCAUUUGGGUUGAGUUCUGAUGAUAAGUCAUAAAAAAAAACAUUUUUCGUGUCAAACUGCAGAAAUUAGAGGAUGAACUGGAUGCCGCGCGGAAAGUCUCUUCAGAACGACAAUUAGCUGUUACAGACGUAUGUGCUCUUCACUUGUUGGCUGCUUAUUUAUCCAAGAUGCAAUUGGUAGUCCUGCAAUGGCUUUUCUGAUGAAAACAUUAUGUAUGCAGCUGUACAAACAUUUUCUUCAACUUCAAGACUACAACGAUAGGGUCAAAACGGCUGAACAGAGGCUGCAGGUAUUUUCUCAUCAUUUGUUUCUUUCAUAACUCUUGAGUUCCGUGGUCAACAAUUAUCCUGUUGUUUAGGUUUGCUUGUGUUGGCAAGUUGAGGAAGGUGUGCUGACUCUUUCUGUUUUGAUUCUACUAGUCUCUUGUUGAUGCUGCCAUGGUCGAGCUUGACAUAGCCGAAGAUGCUACUACCAGAGAUGGCUCAAUGUAUGAGAAUGGGGUGGUCUGAACACCCAAAAGGGCUGCCAGCUGUCAUGGGUUGUGAGGCUACUAAUUUGUUAGACUUGUAGUUUGGAUUUGCCAUGUAAUGAGAACUGUACUGUAACUAGAAACAGAAAAUGUUAUGUAAGGGGCCAGAAAAUGAGUGGCUGCACAUUUUUCUAUUUCUUUCCAAGUUGAAUUUAUUAGCCGUCCUGACUAUUGCUAUACGGUGUGAUGUGACCGUGAUAUGUCAGCUGUUCUGUUGAGCAAGGUUGUGUUCAUAUUUGCCUGUGUUGAUGCCUGAGCUUGACACCGUCAUCUGGUAAUAGUUGCCUAAAGUUUGUUGCCGAGCCUGACGAGAGUAGCAGCAAAUUGCAGUCAAAAGAGUACACAACCUUUUGUUUUGCUGGAAGUAAGUUUCGUUUUGCUAAAAAGGCUUAAGGUAAGGUACUGCGACUAAGGAUGAAAACGGGUUUCGUUUUGCUAAAAAGGCUUAAGGUAAGGUACUGUGACUAAGGAUGAAAACGGUCGGAAACGUCGAAAAACUCCUAAAUUAUUUUCUACUUUUACAUUUGAAAUACAAAAACGAAAACGGUAAAGUCGGACACGAAAACGAACACGAACUUACGAAAUAUCAAGAAUUGCAAAAACGAACCAAUUCGAUCGGAUUUAUGUCGAACACGGUCGAUAUACGAAAACUCAAUACGAAAACCGAUAUAUAGUACCAAGUGCAUGACUAAAAGUAUAUAUAGGAUCAAGUUCAAGUGCAUAUAAUAAUUAAAAAGUGCAUGCUUCUUAGUCUUAGGUGUUUAAUACAAUAGGCCACACAUAAAUACAAGUCUAGAAUAAACAAUUAAUAGCUAACAUGAACACAACUAGCCACUAGUAGAAAGAACGCAGAUGCAUGGUGAGUAGUUUGUAAUUGGGCUGUGUGACUCUACAGUUGACUAAAUUCGGUUUAAACCAAAUUUUGAAUUCGAAAUAUUUCAUAUUAAAAGUAGAAAAGUAGAAAACGGUCGAAAAAUGUCAAAACCGUUUUCUACUUUUAUAUUUGAAAUACGAAACAUCUAAAAUACGAAAGCGAAAACGAUAAAGUCGGAUAAAAAAAUACGAAUUCGAUCGGAUCAAAUAUAGAAAGUGGUUCGGUUCGAUUCGAGAUAUUCCGUUUUCAUCGACUAAGCGCUCGCCGCUAGGCCACUUGUAUCCCGGCCAGCCGCCGCAACUCAGCAAGGCCACCGUCACGCGGGGCUCACCGGCCGAGCGAGUUGGGUCACCGGCCUCGGGCCGUCAAAUACGGCCACGUCACGGUCAUCAGCAUCCGCACGAGGACCCCCUUCCGCUCUAGUAUCUCUGACUCUAAGUACUUAUUGUCGUCUAAUAUACAUAGCAUAAAUUUAACUCAAUGUAUAAAAAAUAUGUAAUAUUUAUAUCUCUAAAUAAGUUUAUUAAUUUAAAUAUCUUUCCAAGCUGCUCUGAGCUGUAUCCAACUGCUGAGACCUCAGGGAGAAAGAGAAAGAGAGAGAGGCCUUGUUUAGUUGAGAAGGCGAAAAGUUUUUAGAUAUUGUAGCACUUUCGUUUUUGUUUGUCCAUCAUUAUUCAAUCAUGGAUUAACUAGACUUAAAAAUUCAUCUCACAAAUUACAGAUAAAUUGUAUAAUUAGUUAUUUUUUUAUCUAUAUAUUAUAUUCUAUAUAUGUAUAACAAGAUUUGAUAUAACGAGAAAUUUUAAGAAGUUUUUAGGUUCUAGGGUAAACUAAACAAUGCCAGAGGAGAGGUCGAGAGGAGACUCCAAAGUCUACUAGAAACAGAGCAGAGCAGGCCAUCUCUGACUUGUAGCUGCCGACUGCCAAAUUGUUUGGUUUUUCUACGGGCGCCGUCGCCGUCGACGUCAACGGCCAACGGCGCAGGCCCAUCUUGACCGCUUCUCACUCAGAACCCCCUCCUGACGCAUUGCGCCACUCACUGUUGUGGCGUGGUCUGUGCUGUCUUGACUUAAUUGACCCGCGAGGGAAGGAUAACUAUUAAUUAAGGCCUUGUACUGAUUUUUUAACACCUAUCACAUCAAAUAUUUAGACAUAUACAUCAAGUAUUAAAUACGAACUAUCUACAAAAUUAAAAAUAUAAAAUAAUUUACGAGACUAUCUUUCGAACCUAAUUAGUUCAUGAUUGAAUAUUAAUUGCUAAAUAAAAUAAAAAUAUUAUAAUACCUGCUAAACUUUAGCACCUUCAACCAAACACGCUCUGAUUAACACGGGUGGCUAACGUUGGUUACUCUACCCACUUAUCCUGGACGUGACGGCAAUUGGGAAAGGCGACGAUUUUUAUUUAUUUUUGGUGUGCAAGACAACUGUUCGUCCCGACCGGUGAAGGAAGCAAUGAACGAAUGCACGGCAAGUACGCCCGGUCGUCCAGGACACGAGAGACCUCAUCAGAUCAGCGACAGCGAACUGUUCGGGCCCGGUCAAGCCGCGCACAGCGGAGCCCGUUCAAACUUUCAAACGGUCAAACUAUUUACGCUGCACUCGCCAAUACGAAAGCAGUAGGAAACUGCUAAUAGAUUCUAACGGCCGAAUUUCCCGCGAAUCAAGUGAGCGACGUGCCCGCCACCUAAGGAAAGAGAAUAAUCAACAAACUGCUUAAGAGCCUUAAGCUACAAGAUCAAAAGAAUCCCCUGGCGCUGCUUGCCUAGGCAGCUACACUCAGCUCGGCCUGUUUGGAACAAAGAAAUAAAAAAAAAUACAGAGACCGAAGAAAAUAGAAGAAUAGCAAAAAGAAUGAAAAUGUAAAAACAGAUAAUUUUAUAGAAACAGGUGUUUGAAACAGAUGAACAUUUAACUGCUAUAGGAAUUUUAGAGUUAGCUGGAAACUCAAUGCUUUAAAUUAAAAUUAACAGUAAAUACUUUUCCUUUUUAGAAAUCUGGUAUGUAUAUAUCAAAUAAAGCAUGGAAGAGGGGCCCCCACAAGUACAUUGAAAAAAUAAAUUAUAGGAACUGCAUGUCCUCUGUUUUUCCUACGUUCUUCCUGCCAAACAGGGUAAAAUAAGAGCCCUGCCAAAUGUCCACGGUGGCAAAUAAUAAUGCAGAGGCGUUGAACACUUACGCACUAAUUCACCUUCCUCUCGACGAGCAUUAGCGCGCGCAGGUAUUUAUACCACAUCGCCACUUCCUCGUUCCUCAGACACUAACACCUCUCUCUCCCUUCCUCUUCCUCUUCCUCUUCAUCGUCUUCUUCACGGAGAUCGGCAAGCUACAAGAGUACUCCAGCUACAGUAGAAAGACAAAGAACAGAGUCAAGCACUCAAGCUCGAGCAGGGAGAAGAACUGGAGAAGUGAACGGGAAAGACAAAGAACGGAGGGGGUUUGACAUCAGUCGAGGAUGGAUUUAGUGCGGAUGGGGAGCAUCGCCAGCGGGAGCAUGCGGCGGACGGCGUCGUCGUGGCGGGGGUCCGGGCGGAGCGACGCCUUCGGCCGGUCCGUGCGGGAGGAGGACGACGAGGAGGCGCUGCGAUGGGCGGCCAUCGAGAAGCUGCCCACCUACGACCGCAUGCGCAAGGGCAUCCUCACGGGCGCCGGCGCCGGCGGCGGUAUCGAGGAGGUGGACAUCCAGGGGCUCGGCAUGCAGGAGCGCCAGAACCUCAUCGAGCGCCUCGUGCGCACCGCCGAGGAGGACAACGAGCGCUUCCUGCUCAAGCUCCGCGACCGCAUGGAGCGGUGAGCACUCGCCCACUACUCUUGCUUUGCUUCAGUUGUCCUUGGACUGGAAACAAAAAAAAAUUCAGAUUUCAGAUGGACUUCACUUGGGAAAUGAUCUGCACAAGCAUCAGGAAUCAUUUCAUUGUGCAGCAAAUCAUGGAGAAGCAUCUCGUGCUAUGUAUUCAGUAACUUAUUCAUGACUUCUUCUUUUUUGUUUUUUCAGAGUUGGGAUCGACAAUCCGACGAUAGAAGUGCGGUUUGAGAACCUGAACAUCGACGCCGAGGCCUACGUCGGCAACCGAGGUGUCCCGACGAUGACCAACUUCUUCUCCAACAAAGUCAUGGUAUGCAUCUCAUCUGCAGAAAGGCACCUUGAUGCUUCCUACUUCCUAGCCAUGGAAAAAGAAAAAACUUGUCAAGUUCCUUCAGCUACUAAUUCUUGUGAGAUGUUCUUCUCACAGGAUGCACUAAGCGCUAUGCACAUCGUUUCGAGUGGGAAGAGACCUAUCUCUAUCCUUCACGAUAUCAGUGGAAUCAUAAGACCGGGCAGAAUGUCUUUGCUGCUUGGCCCUCCUGGCUCCGGGAAAACAAGUCUGCUUCUGGCUUUGGCAGGAAAACUUGACUCAGCUCUGAAGGUACCACACCUUGCAAUACUUUCUUGAUUGUCAACCUCUUUUUCUUAAAAGAGAUUGAUUGUCGACUUCUAAAUCCUAGGCCAAGAAAAAGUAUGUAUUUGGGAGAAAGAUAGCUGUAAUUUGUACAAAAAUGAAUGAACUUGCAAUGAAAUUUUCAGGUGUCAGGAAGAGUAACCUACAAUGGUCAUGACAUGGAUGAAUUUGUCCCUCAGAGGACAUCGGCAUACAUCGGGCAGCAUGAUGUUCACGUCGGCGAAAUGACAGUUCGGGAAACACUUGCCUUCUCUGCAAGAUGUCAAGGAGUUGGAACACGUUAUGGUACAUAACAUUGACAUUGAAAAGGAACAAACAAAAUUAUUCACCUUUGGUAAAGAGAACCUGAUGGUGUUUUCAAUUACAGACAUGCUUACUGAACUUUCAAGAAGGGAGAAAGAAGCCAACAUUAAGCCAGAUCCUGAUAUCGAUGUUUACAUGAAGGUAAAGUUCAUUUAAUUCAAAUCAAACCCUGUAUUUACGUUGGAAGUAACAAAGGUUACUCAACGUUAUUGUGUGCCUCUAUGCAAACAGGCUAUCUCCGUGGAAGGACAGGAGAGUGUGGUCACAGAUUACAUCCUCAAGGUCAGUAAAAAUAUACUGCACAAAAAUAGAAAAUAGGAGAAAUGGGUAUGCCCCUAACAGUACCUGUACUUCUUUUGCAGAUUCUGGGUCUGGAGAUCUGUGCAGAUACAAUGGUUGGAGACUCUAUGAUCAGAGGUAUCUCAGGAGGACAAAAGAAGCGUGUUACAACCGGUAUGUGCAAUAUGCAGUUAAAUUAAAACUUGUGCAUCAAGCCCUUCGGCCCUGAUCGAAAAAUCUGACUCAAUGUCUUGUUGAAUUUUCACAGGUGAGAUGCUUGUUGGUCCAGCUAAGGCGCUAUUCAUGGAUGAAAUCUCCACCGGUCUGGACAGCUCCACAACAUAUCAGAUCGUCAACUCUCUAAGGCAGUCGGUCCACAUCCUUGGUGGAACUGCACUUAUUGCAUUGCUUCAGCCUGCGCCUGAAACAUACGAGCUCUUCGAUGACAUUGUCCUCCUCUCUGAGGGCCAAAUUGUAUACCAGGGUCCUCGGGAGAAUGUCCUUGAAUUCUUUGAGGCCAUGGGCUUCAAAUGUCCUGAGAGAAAAGGUGUUGCAGACUUCUUGCAAGAAGUGAGUGAUCCUGAAGAAUCCUAUUUACUGCACGUUCAAACUUGGAGCCCAAUUUGACAUUGCUCUCUGUGAUCACAGGUUACAUCUAGGAAGGAUCAGCACCAGUACUGGUGCAGAAGAGACGAGCGAUACAGAUACAUCUCAGUUAAUGACUUUUCAGAGGCAUUCAAAGCAUUCCACGUUGGGCGUAAGCUGGGAUCAGAGCUCAUGGAGCCCUUCGAUCGCACCAGGAACCAUCCUGCAGCUCUCACAACGUCAAAGUAUGGUAUCAGCAAGAUGGAGCUUCUCAGAGCAUGCUUCUCUAGGGAGUGGCUACUGAUGAAGAGGAACUCAUUUGUUUAUAUCUUCAAAGUAGUCCAGGUAUUCAUCCUGCUUCCAGAAAUCUUCUCAACUUCCAAAUUCAGAUAGUAAAUUCUGAUGAAUGUUCCAUAUUUGCACCAGCUCAUAAUUCUUGGAACCAUUGCAAUGACGGUCUUCCUGCGCACGACAAUGCAUCGACGUAGUGUCGAAGAUGGUGUGAUAUUUCUGGGCGCCAUGUUCCUUGGACUAGUCACACAUUUGUUCAAUGGUUUUGCUGAACUCGCCAUGAGUAUUGCAAAGCUGCCGAUAUUCUAUAAGCAGAGGGACCUCCUCUUCUAUCCAUCAUGGGCAUAUGCACUGCCUACAUGGUUGCUAAAGAUACCAAUAUCAUUCUUGGAAUGCGCUGUGUGGAUUGGCAUGACUUACUAUGUCAUUGGCUUUGAUCCAAACAUCGAAAGGUUCUUUCGCCAUUACCUGCUGCUCGUACUAAUCAGCCAGAUGGCAUCUGGACUUUUCCGGCUUCUUGCUGCACUAGGAAGAGAAAUGGUUGUCGCAGACACAUUUGGGUCAUUCGCGCAGCUUGUUCUUCUGAUUCUUGGUGGCUUCUUGAUAGCAAGAGGUAAGACAAGUCUUCAUUCACCCAUUGCUUUGAUAGUUCCAGGAGCAUGUAAUUGAGUUUUCUUCUUCAGAUAACAUCAAGAAAUAUUGGAUCUGGGGCUAUUGGUCCUCCCCUCUGAUGUAUGCCCAGAAUGCCAUAGCAGUGAAUGAGUUCCUUGGCCAUAGCUGGCAGAAGGUAAUGUAGUGACUUCUGAACCAAUCUAAGAUAUGAUCACUCUAAAGAUCAGAGAGACAGCUGAGUUAACAAACAAUGUCAAUCUCUGUGCAGGUUGUCGAUAGCACACAAAGCAACGACACACUCGGUGUUGAAAUCCUAAAGGCCCGCGGCAUCUUUGUCGAUCCAAACUGGUAUUGGAUUGGUGUUGGUGCAUUGCUUGGGUAUAUCAUGCUCUUCAACGUACUCUUCGUUCUGUUCCUUGACUGGCUUGGCCGUGAGUACCCUCUUUUCUCAAAAGGAUCAGUCCACACACUUGAAAACAUCGCAUUUGGGACUAACAUAAUUCUUGUAAACACAGCACUUGGACAAGGUCAGGCCGUUGUUUCUGAAGAGGAGCUGCGGGAGAAGCAUGUAAACCGUACUGGUGAAAAUGUUGAGUUGCUGCCUCUUGGAACAGCUUCCCAGAAUUCGCCUUCAGAUGGUCAGUCAUAAGCAGAUCUCCAUGCAACAUAAAUCAGAUAAUACAUGUCAUUGUUCCAUCAUUGUAACAAGUCCAUAAAAAAUGCAGGAAGAGGAGAAAUUGCUGGAGCUGAAACCAGGAAGAGAGGAAUGGUACUUCCAUUUAUGCCGUUGUCCAUCACCUUUGACAAUGUCAAAUACUCGGUGGACAUGCCUCAGGUAAGCAUAAAUUAGAAGAUCUGUCUUAUCACAAAAACACAAACUGAUAAUACUAAAUAGUAAUUAAUAAUUGUAUGACUCUUUGAUAGGAAAUGAAAGACAAAGGUAUUACUGAAGACCGUCUACUGCUGCUGAAGGGUGUAAGUGGAGCCUUCAGACCAGGAGUCCUUACAGCACUGAUGGGAGUCAGUGGAGCGGGUAAGACUACCCUGAUGGAUGUGUUGGCGGGAAGGAAAACUGGUGGUUACAUUGAAGGAGAUAUUUCAAUCUCUGGAUACCCAAAGAAACAAGAGACCUUUGCUCGGAUUGCUGGCUACUGUGAGCAAAAUGAUAUCCAUUCUCCACAUGUCACUGUUUAUGAAUCCCUCCUGUACUCCGCAUGGCUCCGGUUGCCCCAUGAAGUGGAUUCAGAAGCAAGAAAGGUAGGUCAAAAUUGUCUUCAUUCUGCUCGCUCUUAAGCAACACAGUAACAUUUAGCAACCGAUAGUGCUUGGCUAAUCAGAUCACUUCAUGGGUGCAGAUGUUUGUGGAAGAAGUCAUGGAACUCGUGGAAUUGACACCACUGAGGGGAGCAUUGGUAGGACUGCCAGGAGUAAAUGGUUUAUCCACAGAACAGAGGAAGAGACUCACCAUUGCUGUUGAGCUCGUGGCCAACCCAUCCAUCAUAUUCAUGGAUGAACCAACUUCAGGACUAGAUGCAAGGGCAGCUGCAAUCGUGAUGAGGACAGUCCGAAAUACGGUGGAUACUGGAAGGACGGUUGCCUGCACAAUCCACCAGCCUAGCAUUGAUAUCUUUGAAGCUUUCGAUGAGGUAAGUGGCAACAACCAUAAAACAAGGUUCUUCCAAUGGUAUUUAUUUAACUCUGGAAGUAACACCCAUAUGUCUUCUUGUACUCUGCAGCUAUUUCUGAUGAAACGGGGAGGGGAAGAAAUAUAUGUUGGACCUUUGGGACGCAACUCAUGCCAUCUGAUUGACUACUUUGAGGUGAGCUUCAGCACUCACCUAUUGAACAAACACAUUCAACUUCCAACUUAUGGCAGCCACAUAACAUUGCUUCGUGCUUCAAAUGCAGGGAAUAGAAGGAGUAAAGAAAAUCAAGGAUGGUUACAACCCUGCAACAUGGAUGUUGGAAGUGACCACCUUAGCUCAAGAAGAUAUCCUUGGAAUCAACUUUGCUGAAGUAUACAGAAACUCUGACCUGUACCGGUAUGUUCAAUCAGAUUAACCUCAUAAUGGUGUUUAGGCUUUAUCUGUGCUGUGUUUCAUGUCACUGAUUGGAAUGCAUCAUUGCAGGAGGAACAAAGCUUUGAUUAGUGAACUAAGCACACCACCACCAGGGUCCAAGGACUUGUACUUCCCAACCCAGUAUUCACAGUCCUUCCUUACACAAUGCAUGGCUUGCCUGUGGAAGCAGCACAUGUCUUACUGGAGAAAUCCAUCAUAUACCGCGACUAGAAUCUUCUUCACAACAGUUAUUGCUCUCAUCUUCGGAACCAUCUUCUUAAACUUAGGAAAGAAAAUGUAAGUACCUUUGCUUACAGCACUGACUGAGACCCGAUAUAUGUUGGCAUAUUGUGACAAAGAAACUUACCUGUACUUUGUCUUUUAUUUCAGUGGCACCAGGCAGGACCUGUUGUAUGCUUUGGGAUCCAUGUAUGCAGCAGUUCUUUUCAUUGGAAUUCAGAAUGGUCAAACUGUGCAGCCAAUUGUGGACGUUGAGCGAACAGUUUUCUACCGAGAAAAGGCAGCUGGCAUGUACUCUGCUCUACCCUAUGCUUUUGCACAGGUAAUUGGUUGUAACUGAACAUUUGGAUAAUAGGAAAUAAUUUGCUCUUUUCUUCCUUCAACCUAGAGCUGAGUUCUAACAAUUUUUACCUUUGAAUAGGUCCUUAUUGAGAUCCCACACAUCUUCCUUCAGACAGUCGUGUAUGGUCUCAUUGUCUACAGCCUGAUUGGCUUUGAAUGGACAGCUGAGAAGUUCUUCUGGUAUAUGUUCUUCAUGUUCUUCACCUUCAUGUACUUCACGUUCUAUGGGAUGAUGGCAGUCGCCAUGACACCAAACAGUGACAUUGCCGCUAUAGUCUCAACUGCAUUCUACGCAAUAUGGAACAUCUUUGCCGGCUUCCUUAUCCCCCGCCCGGUAAGUGUCCAAGAGUAACUCUUGUACUAUGCUACACCUCAAUUUUCUCUGUACUGUUGAUGCUGAAGCAUACAUGGCUGGCUUGCAGAGGAUACCAAUAUGGUGGAGAUGGUACUCGUGGGCUUGCCCAGUGGCUUGGACACUAUAUGGACUUGUUGCCUCACAAUUUGGAGACAUCACAGACGUCAGGCUGGAAGAUGAUGAAAUAGUGAAAGAUUUCGUCAACAGAUUCUUUGGAUUCCAGCAUGACAACUUGGGUUAUGUAGCUACUGCUGUUGUUGGAUUCACUGUUCUCUUUGCUUUCGUCUUUGCCUUCUCCAUCAAAGUCUUCAACUUCCAGAGAAGAUAAGAGAGGGUGCCAUCUAAAAAAAAUUUGUUGUUGCUUCAGCUAACUUUCAGUAUAUAGGCACUGCAGCAAUGUAAAAUGAUGACCCGUGAGAGAGUAUAUAUGUAGGCUUUGUUUCUUUCUAGGAAGUUAACAUCAUUUUUUGUUUUCCGACCAGUUUGGCCUGUACUGAACAGAAAGGGGCCUCUGUGUAAAAUUGUAUGUAGACUGUGCACAAUUGAGUUCAAUACUUCAAUGUAAGAUCUCCCAUUAAAUUUAUACCUUUUGUCCAACUGAGACUUGCCUCAAGAUUUAGUCCAUUGCAGAAUGAGAAUAGCCUGAGUGAAAAAAAAAAAGCUUGUUCGCUUGAGCUUAUCAGCCAUUCAGCAGUGUUUUUCUCUCGCAACAAAUCAGCCAAAAGUACUUUCGGUUCACAGAGAUACUUGAGGAAGUCCAUAAAUAUUAGGAACACAAAUAAACUGAACAUUCAGAAAUUAGAAGCAGCAUCCCUCUCACUGCUGACGGACAGCAACUCUACCACUAAGUGGCUAGGGAUCCUAAAUUGCGCGUAAUCCGAACCCAAUUCAUAUCCCGAAUGAAGAAGAUCAUCAAAUGACUUGUCGUAAUUCCUAUGCAGAACCCAGAAAGGUGCCCCGACCAGCAAAAGAGCCGAGGAAAGGCAGGUGCGAGUAGGAGUAAAUCCCAAAUCAACCUCUUUCCCAUCGGCAGGCUUGGUAAAGGUGAGUAAUGGAUCACAUUUUGCGGCGCAAAACUGCUCAAUGGAAUGAUAAAUCGCGAGACUAUCACCUGCAGCCGUAGCUCCCAUUGCUCGCGCCAGCCGCCGCAGGCCGCAGGCCGCAGCCCAUGCCAUACGCCAAGCACAUGCAGGACAAAGACGGAACCGCAGGCUGGGUACGGAACAAGCCACCGUGGAGGCUCGUUACGCCGACGGCCGGAAUGGUCCGCCACCGAUGCGGGGGUUUGCGCGACUCUGGCGGGCGCGUGGGGUUUGGGUGGGUGAAAUUUCGCUGAACCUGAAACAGAUACCGAUUUAAUGGUAACUGAACUUUUUAUCAGCUAUUCCAAGAAGACUUUGGCGUUUUGUCAUUAACCGAUUUUCUUGUGUUAUAUAUUAAAUAAUUAUGUCCAUUUGCACAUUCAAACAUUUUUUAUAGUGACUUUAUUUGUUAAAAGUAUUAUUUGUUGUUUUUCCUUUUUGUUUUAUUACAAGGAUGUAUUUCUGGUUAGUUAUUCCGUCAUUAUCCUCUUAUAAUAGUGUUAACUUUUGUACAAAAGAAAAAAUAUACAAAUGUGAUUUUGCUCCCUUUUCAAUGUUACUAGCAAAACAUGCCCGUGCGUUGCAACGGGGAAAAAAUAUCGAAUGUUAAUAACAAACAACGAUAGAAAUAAGACAUCUAUUUAUGUGGGAGCCGGGGAAGAACAUCAUUGUUACUAUAGGUAAAUAGAUACUUCAUCUGUCCCAAAAUAAGUGAUACUUUUAACUUUGAGGCAUCUUAUUUGACCGUUCAUCUUAUUCAAAAUUUGAUAUAAAUAUUAUCUAUUUUGUUGUGACCUUUUAUUAUUAGAUAUACUUUAAUAAUAAUUUAUUUAUUUAUCAUUUAUAAAAAAAUAUGAAUAAGACAAAUAAUCAAACAAUUUGUCUAGAAGUCAAAAACAUGAUGUAUUUUAGGACGUAGGGGGUAUAAGAUUGUACUUUACUACGUUUAUUGUCAUUUAAUUAAGUAUCAAUCUAAUUUUUUUUCUCUAGAGGACCAUCAUCAUUCAAUUAGAACUUAGAAGACUACUUAUAUUUUCUCUAAACGUUAGUGAUUUUAUGCCAAGGAGAUUAGAAGCAAUUUUCAAAGAUAUUUUUAUACUUUUGCUUCAAUUUUUUUUGUUUUCUAUAACCUUUCAUGGGCACACCAUAUUUGAGUUAGACAACACGUUAUCUCAUAUGGAUUCCAUGCUACUAAAUAACUUAUCAUUUGUGCUUAUGGAUAAAUAACAUAUAUUAUUCACGAUAGCUUAUCAUUUAAUCUCACUAAUGUGAUAAAGUCAAUAUCUCAGAAUAAAAUUUUUUUUCCACAGUAACCUUUUACCCAAAGAAAAAUCUAGGCAUGGGUGGGACCCACUACCAGACAAUUUCUAGGCAUGGGAGAUGGGGAGAUGUAUCUAGCUCCACUACCGGACAAUUUGCGUCUCCACGCGACCACGCCUUCCAUCUCCACACCGCCCAUCCAAUUCUUAUCUCGGUGCUCCGUAGCUAUGCGGCUCGCGAGGGCACAACCCAUGCGGCAGGCGAGCAUGAGGCUGUGUUCCGGGCGGCGGCAGGCGAGAGCACGUCCUGGGCGCGGCAGGCGAGCGCGAGGCCGUGAACCGGGCGGCGGCAAGCGAGCGCGCAUCUCGGACAGCAGUAGGCAAGCGCGAGGCCGUGUCCCGGUCGGCAGCAGGCGAGGGCUCGUCCCCUAUCUUCGAGACCCAGGAUACCUCUGGGGCAGCGGAUCUUUUUUCUCUUAAGCUACCGCCGAUUCCGAGCCGGAUGGAUUUAGGUGGCGGCAGAAAAAAGUGGGCAGACUGAAAUUCUGCCUCUUUAUAUAUAGGUAUAGAUUUGUGAUUUUACCUAUAAUUUGGAAUAAGAUAUUUAUAUUGUAUUUUGACAAUAAAUGGUUAAGGGUCAAAUAUAUUUGGCACAAUUUGUAAUUAUUUCAAAUCAAAUUUAAUAUUGAAAAAAAAACAGAUAUAUGUGGUCAUGUUAGUAUAGGAAAAAGUCUAUAUCACCCCCUAAACUAUAGGGUGGUGUCUACUUUACCCCCGAACUAUGAAACUGUCUAAUUUAUCCUCUGAACUAUUCUUUUUUCUAUUUGUUUUCGCUGAAUCUUUGAAAAAACAUAGUAAAUCAUAAAAAAAUCAUAAAA